rnacentral:rRNA from 1 species
GACGAACGCUGGCGGCGUGCUUAACACAUGCAAGUCGAACGAAAAGACCACUUUCUUGGUACUCUGGUGGCGAACGGGGAAGUAACACGUGAAUAACCUUCCCUUAACUUCGGGAUAACGUUAGGAAACUGGGGCUAAUACCAGAAAGGAAUCCUUGCUGCAACGGGAUGGUUGAAAAGCUUCGGCGGUUUUGGAUGUACUCGCGGCGUAUCAGCUUGUUGGUUUGGUAGUGGGUUACCAAGGCGUUGACGGGUAGCGGCACUGAGAGGGCGACCGGCGACACUGGGACCGAGAGACGGCACAGACUCGGACGCGUCGCAGCAGUGCGGAAUCUUGCACAAUGAGCGCAGGCUUGAUGCUGCAGGGCUGCGUGCGGGAUGACGGCGUUAGGGUUGUAAACCGCUUGUAGAAGGGGCGAUGCUUGUGGUGACGGUACCUGCAGAAAAAGCCCCGGCUAACUACGUG